rnacentral:rRNA from 1 species
GAGUUUGAUCAUGGCUCAGGAUGAAUGCUGGCGGCGUGGAUAAGGCAUGCAAGUCAAGGGGGCCGCAAGGCAACCGGCAGACGAGGUAGUAACACGUACGAACGUACCCAGAAGUCGGGCAUAGCUCGUCGAAAGACGGGGUAAUUCCCGAUAGUCCCGCGAGGGUAAAGGUUUUUCGCUUCUGGAGCGGCGUGCGCAUUAUCAGCUAGUUGGUGAGGUAACGGCUCACCAAGGCUACGACGAUUAGGGGAGCUGAGAGGCUGACCCCCACCGAGGGAACUGAGAGACGGUCCCUACUCCUACGGGAGGCCGCAGUCAAGAACCUUCCGCAAUGGGCGAAAGCCUGACGGAGCGACGCCGCGUGAUGGACGAAGUGCUUCGGCACGUAAACAUCUUUUGUCAGGGACGAAAUUAUUGACGGUACCUGAAGAAUAAGGGGCUCCUAACUCUGUGCCAGCAGCCGCGGUAC